rnacentral:rRNA from 1 species
UACGAAGGGGGGCUAGCGUUGCUCGGAAUCACUGGGCGUAAAGGGUGCGUAGGCGGGUCUUUAAGUCAGGGGGUGAAAAUCCUGGAGCUCAACUCCAGAACUGCCUUUGAUACUGGAAAGCUCGAGUCCGGGAGAGGUGAGUGGAACUGCGAGUGUAGAGGUGAAAUUCGUAGAUAUUCGCAAGAACACCAGUGGCGAAGGCGGCUCACUGGCCCGGUACUGACGCUGAGGUGCGAAAGCGUGGGGAGCAAACAGG